UAUAUUUGCACGCUCAUAGUAAAGUGCUAUGGACAUACAUAAAAAUCAUUUAAAUAAUAUUGGAAUG
rnacentral:ncRNA from 1 species